AGUAGUUUGACUCCGUGGCUCGAGGACGAACGCUGGCGGCGUGCUUAACACAUGCAAGUCGAACGGAGAACCCCGAAUGAAGUUUUCGGAUGGAUUUUGGGAAUUCUCAGUGGCGGACGGGUGAGUAACGCGUGAGCAAUCUGCCUUAGAGAGGGGGACAACAGCUGGAAACGGCUGCUAAUACCGCAUAAGACCACGGUGCUGCAUGGCACAGGGGUAAAAGGAGUGAUCCGCUUUAAGAUGAGCUCGCGUCCCAUUAGUUAGUUGGCAGGGUAAUGGCCUACCAAGACGACGAUGGGUAGCCGACCUGAGAGGGUGAACGGCCACACUGGAACUGAGACACGGUCCAGACUCC
rnacentral:rRNA from 1 species